rnacentral:rRNA from 1 species
CUGUCACUCCUACGGGAGGCAGCAGUGGGGAAUAUUGCACAAUGGGCGCAAGCCUGAUGCAGCCAUGCCGCGUGUGUGAAGAAGGCCUUCGGGUUGUAAAGCACUUUCAGUCGUGAGGAAGGUGGUAGUGUUAAUAGCACUAUCAUUUGACGUUAGCGACAGAAGAAGCACCGGCUAACUCCGUGCCAGCAGCCGCGGUAAUACGGAGGGUGCGAGCGUUAAUCGGAAUUACUGGGCGUAAAGCGCAUGCAGGUGGUUUGUUAAGUCAGAUGUGAAAGCCCGGGGCUCAACCUCGGAAUAGCAUUUGAAACUGGCAGACUAGAGUACUGUAGAGGGGGUAGAAUUUCAGGUGUAGCGGUGAAAAUGCGUAGAGAUCUGAAGGAAUACCGGUGGCGAAGGCGGCCCCCUGGACAGAUACUGACACUCAGAUGCGAAAGCGUGGGGAGCAAACAGGAUUAGAUACCCUGGUAG